rnacentral:rRNA from 1 species
GAAACUCGUGCUAAUACCGCAUAAGCCCUACGGGGGAAAGCGGGGGAUCUUCGGACCUCGCGCCAUUGGAUGAGCCCAAGUCGGAUUAGCUUGUUGGUGAGGUAAAGGCUCACCAAGGCUACGAUCCGUAGCUGGUCUGAGAGGACGAUCAGCCACACUGGGACUGAGACACGGCCCAGACUCCUACGGGAGGCAGCAGUGGGGAAUAUUGCACAAUGGGCGCAAGCCUGAUGCAGCAAUGCCGCGUGUGUGAAGAAGGCCUGCGGGUUGUAAAGCACUUUCAAUAGGGAAGAAAAGCUUAGGGUUAAUAACCUUGAGUCUUGACAUUAUCUAUACAAGAAGCACCGGCUAACUCCGUGCCAGCAGCCGCGGUAAUACGGAGGGUGCGAGCGUUAAUCGGAAUUACUGGGCGUAAAGCGCGCGUAGGUGGUAAGGUCAGUCGGAUGUGAAAGCCCCGGGCUUACCUGGGAACUGCAUUCGAUACUGCUUUGCUAGAGUAUGGUAGAGGGAAGUGGAAUUCCGGGUGUAGCGGUGAAAUGCGUA